GUGGAACAGCUUGCCACCAGAAGUUUCUUUCCAGAGUCUCCACAUCUUUUUUACAUUGUGGCAACCAAAACUGAAUGCAAUAUUCCAAGGUGUUGGUUAUCACCUUUAAAGCCCAGGGACUCCAGGUGACUUGAGAAACCAUCACCUUCCACUGGGACUGCCUCCCUCCCCCCACUUGUGCAAGCAGAGAAGGGAUGCUGAGGUCCCCGUCAAUCAGGGAAUUCCGGCUGGAGGGGCUGAGGAGAAGGGCCUUCUCUGCCAUGGCUUCUGCCCUUUGGAGCACUUUACCUGCCUCCUCCAGACAUUUAUGGUUUCACAAGUGAAGGCAAAUCUACGUAUCCCAGGGUAAUGUUGCAAGAGGUUUUAGUCUUCCGAGCUUUUCGGAUUCGUGCUGGAGCCCAUCUCUCCCGGAAUAUUUAUGGUUUCCUUUCAUUGUUGCAAUCCACCCAGAGUUGCCCUGUGGCAAGAUGGACGGCAAACGAAUUUAAUAAAUAAGUCAAAUAUUUU